rnacentral:rRNA from 1 species
CCUACGGGAGGCAGCAGUGGGGAAUAUUGCACAAUGGGGGAAACCCUGAUGCAGCAACGCCGCGUGAGUGAUGAAGUUUUUCGGUAUGUAAAGCUCUAUCAGCAGGGAAGAAGAAAGACGUUUCCUGCCUAUGAAGCCCCGGUUAAUUACGUGCCAGCAGCCGCGGUAUUCCGUAGGGGGCAAGCGUUCUCCGGAUUUACUGGGUGUAAAGGGAGCUGAGACGGGUGUGCAAGUCUGAGGUGAAAGCCCGUGGCUCAACCGAAGAACUGCAUUGGAAACUGUAUAGCUUGAGUACUGGAGAGGCAGGCGGAAUGCCUGGUGUAGCGGUGAAAUGCGUAGAUAUCAGGAGGAACA